GCUGUGUGAGGUGCGCACUGUUUGGCUGAAGCGUUACUGGUUUAGUUUGAGUUUGUUUCCGCAGCGUUGCCGGCGCUCCUGGGUUCUACAGAAGUUGCUAUUGCUAAACUGUUUACGUUAGUUGGGUGUUUUUGUGCAUGGACGACAUAGUACUGUGUGCACGCUCUGGGGCCGAAAGCCCCAUAGUCAAACAUGGCCGCCUCCAUGGACUGGCUUCAUGGCCACCUCCAUGGACUGGCUUCAUGGCUCAUUGAACAGCUCCGAUAGGAAUCCAUGGAGCCGAAACCACAUCCACGCAAAUACGCAUAUCAUAUCAUACACACGUUACAGAGCCAGGAAUAAAUGCUCUAACUUCA